GACGAAUGCUGGCGGCGUGCUUAACACAUGCAAGUCGAACGGACAGGCCCUGCUUGCAGGGUACUCGCGUGGCGAACGGGUGAGUAACACGUGGGUGAUCUGCCCUCCACUUCGGGAUAAGCUUGGGAAACUGGGUCUAAUACCGGAUAGGAACCAUCUUUAGUGUGGUGGUUGGAAAGUUUUUUCGGUGUAGGAUGAGCUCGCGGCCUAUCAGCUUGUUGGUGGGGUAAUGGCCUACCAAGGCGGCGACGGGUAGCCGGCCUGAGAGGGUGUACGGCCACAUUGGAACUCUGAGACAGCCCAGACUCCUACGUGAGGCAGCAGUGGCGAAUAUUUGACAAUGGGCGCAAGCCUGAGGCAGCGACGCCGCGUGGGCGAUGAAGGCCGUCGUGUUGUAAACUCCUUUCUCUAGGGACGAAGCUUUGUUGUGACGGUACCUAGAUAAGAAGCACCGGCUAACUACGUG
rnacentral:rRNA from 1 species